GUGCUUGCUUCGGCAGCGCGGCUACUAGAACUGGGACAAUUCCAGAGAUGAGCAUGGGCCCUGAGCAAGGCUGGCAUGGAAUUUCAUGGAGGGUUCCUUCCAAAUUUAA
ensembl:snRNA U6 U6 spliceosomal RNA